rnacentral:tRNA from 1 species
GGGCCCGUGGCCAAGAAGGAUAAGGCGGCAAGCACGUAAGCUGCAAAUCGCGGGUUCGAAUCCCGCCGGGCCCG